rnacentral:rRNA from 1 species
UACGAAGGUGGCAAGCGUUGUUCGGAUUCACUGGGCGUACAGGGUGUGUAGGCGGUUUGGUAAGCCUUCUGUUAAAGCUUCGGGCCCAACCCGGAAAGCGCAGAGGGUACUGCCAGGCUAGAGGACGGGAGAGGAGCGCGGAAUUCCCGGUGUAGCGGUGAAAUGCGUAGAGAUCGGGAGGAAGGCCGGUGGCGAAGGCGGCUCACUGGCCCGGUACUGACGCUGAGGUGCGAAAGCGUGGGGAGCAAACAGG